rnacentral:rRNA from 1 species
UACGAAGGGGGCUAGCGUUGUUCGGAAUUACUGGGCGUAAAGGGCGCGUAGGCGGCCCGCUAAGUCGAACGUGAAAUCCCCGAGCUCAACUCGGGAACUGCGUCCGAUACUGGCGGGCUUGAAUCCGGGAGAGGGAUGCGGAAUUCCAGGUGUAGCGGUGAAAUGCGUAGAUAUCUGGAGGAACACCAGCGGCGAAGGCGGCUCACUGGGCUCCACCUGACGCUGAGGCGCGAAAGCGUGGGGAGCAAACCGG